rnacentral:misc_RNA from 1 species
GGAUUACUAAAGGCUCAAAUCCAAUUUAAAUGUAUUCUGAAUAGUUGGGAAAGCAAACAUCAUACAAAAAUUUUGGUUCUCAUUCUUGUGAUCAUUUGAGACUUUAACCAUUCUUUCACAGAUCUUGCACACUCAAACCUGGUGGAAGAGAUUGCUUCAACUUGUCUGCUUUCUCAGAGUCGAAAACACAAAGAGUAUAAAGAUAUUUGGAGCAUCGAACUUUGAACUUCACCACAUCUUUGCUCCUCUUAAUUUUCACAGAACGAGCAUCUUUCCUUCUAGCAGUGAGAAGGAAAUCUUUGAUCUCGUGAAUUUGUUUCGGCAUUGUGGUGGCAGAGCUGAGAUUGCCGAGUAGCUUCUGAUUGUGGAGGCUCAAAACCCUAGCUUUU